UGGGGAAUAUUGCACAAUGGGGGAAACCCUGAUGCAGCGACGCCGCGUGAGCGAAGAAGGCUUUCGAGUCGUAAAGCUCUGUCCUAUGAGAAGAUAAUGACGGUAUCAUAGGAGGAAGCCUUGGCUAAAUACGUGCCAGCAGCCGCGGUAAUACGUAUGGGGCGAGCGUUGUCCGGAAUUAUUGGGCGUAAAGGGUACGUAGGUGGUUUUUUAAGUCAGGUGUCAAAGCGUGGAGCUUAACUCCAUUAAGCACUUGAAACUGAAAGACUUGAGUGAAGGAGAGGAAAGUGGAAUUCCUAGUGUAGCGGUGAAAUGCGUAGAUAUUAGGAGGAAUACCGGUGGCGAAGGCGACUUUCUGGACUUUUACUGACGCUCAGGUACGAAAGCGUGGGGAGCAAACAGG
rnacentral:rRNA from 1 species